AGUGAACGCUGGCGGUAGGCCUAACACAUGCAAGUCGAACGGCAGCACAGUAAGAGCUUGCUCUUACGGGUGGCGAGUGGCGGACGGGUGAGGAAUACAUCGGAAUCUACUUUUUCGUGGGGGUUAACGUAGGGAAACUUACGCUAAUACCGCAUACGACCUACGGGUGAAAGCAGGGGAUCUUCGGACCUUGCGCGAUUGAAUGAGCCGAUGUCGGAUUAGCUAGUUGGCGGGGUAAAGGCCCACCAAGGCGACGAUCCGUAGCUGGUCUGAGAGGAUGAUCAGCGACACUGGAAGUGAGACACGGUCCAGAGUCCUACGGGAGGCAGCAGUGGGGAAUAUUGGGCAAUUGGCGCAAGCCUGAUCCAGCCAUAGCGCGUGGGUGAAGAAGGCCUUCGGUUUGUAAAGCCCUUUUGUUGGGAAAGAAAAGCAGCAGGUUAAUACCACGCUGUUCUGACGGUACCCAAAGAAUAAGCACCGGCUAACUUCGUG
rnacentral:rRNA from 1 species